GGAGCUAAGAAAUUAGAGGUGAUUAAGAAGAGGCCAGCAUACCUGAAUACCUGAGGUGAAAUCUUCUAGGAAAUGUUUUCUUUUCUUUUCUUUUCUUUUUUUUUUUUUUUUUUUUUUUGGUUCUUUUUUUCGGAGCUGGGGACCGAACCCAGGGCCUUGCACUUCCUAGGUAAGCGCUCUACCACUGAGCUAAAUCCCCAGCCCCAGGAAAUGUUUUCUAAGAGCACAAGAAGCACAAGAAGUUCCAGAGAUCGAUAUCAUGCCAGACUUCGAAAUGGAUAAGAAUCACCGAGGUGGUACUGGUUUUGAAGGCGUAAAGGGUUCAUGGAGAGCAGCUGAGACUGGGCACUGUGAGAGGCCAGGAAAGGUCAUGGGUGAAUGUGCAGCCUCAGGUGCAGUUGAAGGCCCAGGACUGAAGGGGUCAUGCAAAGGAGUUGACGCUUGGCACCAUGAGGAGAACCUAUGAGAGGCUAUUGGCGAAUCCCAGUUACAGCAGAAAACCCCAGCAUAUCAGAGACGUCAGUACUGUGGGAUGACUACCAAGAACAGCAUCAACAGUGGAGUAGAAUCAACCAGAGCCCAGAGUACCCGAGGGCAGAGCUGAGGAUGUGA
rnacentral:lncRNA from 1 species